ensembl:misc_RNA Metazoa_SRP Metazoan signal recognition particle RNA
GCUGGGUGUGGUGGCGCAUGCCUGUAAUCCCAGCUACUCAGGAGGCUGAGGCAGGAGACUCGCUAAAACCCGGGAGGCAGAGGUUGCAGUGAGCCAAGAUUGUGCCACUGCAUUCUACCCUGGGGGUCAGAGUGAGAUCCUGUCUUGA